GGGUUGUGAGGUUAAGCGACUAAGCGUACACGGUGGAUGCCCUGGCAGUCAGAGGCGAUGAAGGGCGUGCUAAUCUGCGAUAAGCGCCGGUAAGGUGAUAUGAACCGUUAUAACCGGCGAUACCCGAAUGGGGAAACCCAGUGUGACUCGUCACACUAUCAUUAACUGAAUCCAUAGGUUAAUGAGGCGAACCGGGGGAACUGAAACAUCUAAGUACCCCGAGGAAAAGAAAUCAACCGAGAUUCCCCCAGUAGCGGCGAGCGAACGGGGAGGAGCCCAGAGCCUGAAUCAGCAUGUGUGUUAGUGGAAGCGUCUGGAAAGGCGCGCGAUACAGGGUGACAGCCCCGUACACAAAAGCGCAUGUGCUGUGAGCUCGAUGAGUAGGGCGGGACACGUGGUAUCCUGUCUGAAUAUGGGGGGACCAUCCUCCAAGGCUAAAUACUCCUGACUGACCGAUAGUGAACCAGUACCGUGAGGGAAAGGCGAAAAGAACCCCGGCGAGGGGAGUGAAAAAGAACCUGAAACCGUGUACGUACAAGCAGUGGGAGCACCCUUUGGGUGUGACUGCGUACCUUUUGUAUAAUGGGUCAGCGACUUAUAUUCUGUAGCAAGGUUAACCGAAUAGGGGAGCCGGAGGGAAACCGAGUCUUAAUUGGGCGUUAAGUUGCAGGGUAUAGACCCGAAACCCGGUGAUCUAGCCAUGGGCAGGUUGAAGGUUGGGUAACACUAACUGGAGGACCGAACCGACUAAUGUUGAAAAAUUAGCGGAUGACCUGUGGCUGGGGGUGAAAGGCCAAUCAAACCGGGAGAUAGCUGGUUCUCCCCGAAAGCUAUUUAGGUAGCGCCUCGUGAAUUCAUCUCCGGGGGUAGAGCACUGUUUCGGCUAGGGGGCCAUCCCGGCUUACCAACCCGAUGCAAACUGCGAAUACCGGAGAAUGUUAUCACGGGAGACACACGGCGGGUGCUAACGUCCGUCGUGAAGAGGGAAACAACCCAGACCGCCAGCUAAGGUCCCAAAGUCAUGGUUAAGUGGGAAACGAUGUGGGAAGGCCCAGACAGCCAGGAUGUUGGCUUAGAAGCAGCCAUCAUUUAAAGAAAGCGUAAUAGCUCACUGGUCGAGUCGGCCUGCGCGGAAGAUGUAACGGGGCUAAACCAUGCACCGAAGCUGCGGCAGCGACACUGUGUGUUGUUGGGUAGGGGAGCGUUCUGUAAGCCUGUGAAGGUGUGUCGUGAGGCAUGCUGGAGGUAUCAGAAGUGCGAAUGCUGACAUAAGUAACGAUAAAGCGGGUGAAAAGCCCGCUCGCCGGAAGACCAAGGGUUCCUGUCCAACGUUAAUCGGGGCAGGGUGAGUCGACCCCUAAGGCGAGGCCGAAAGGCGUAGUCGAUGGGAAACGGGUUAAUAUUCCCGUACUUGGUGUUACUGCGAAGGGGGGACGGAGAAGGCUAUGUUGGCCGGGCGACGGUUGUCCCGGUUUAAGUGUGUAGGUGUGUGUUCCAGGUAAAUCCGGUUCACUUUAACACUGAGGCGUGACGACGAGGCACUACGGUGCUGAAGCAACAAAUGCCCUGCUUCCAGGAAAAGCCUCUAAGCAUCAGGUAACAUCAAAUCGUACCCCAAACCGACACAGGUGGUCAGGUAGAGAAUACCAAGGCGCUUGAGAGAACUCGGGUGAAGGAACUAGGCAAAAUGGUGCCGUAACUUCGGGAGAAGGCACGCUGACACGUAGGUGAAGUGAUUUACUCAUGGAGCUGAAGUCAGUCGAAGAUACCAGCUGGCUGCAACUGUUUAUUAAAAACACAGCACUGUGCAAACACGAAAGUGGACGUAUACGGUGUGACGCCUGCCCGGUGCCGGAAGGUUAAUUGAUGGGGUCAGCGCAAGCGAAGCUCCUGAUCGAAGCCCCGGUAAACGGCGGCCGUAACUAUAACGGUCCUAAGGUAGCGAAAUUCCUUGUCGGGUAAGUUCCGACCUGCACGAAUGGCGUAAUGAUGGCCAGGCUGUCUCCACCCGAGACUCAGUGAAAUUGAACUCGCUGUGAAGAUGCAGUGUACCCGCGGCAAGACGGAAAGACCCCGUGAACCUUUACUAUAGCUUGACACUGAACAUUGAGCCUUGAUGUGUAGGAUAGGUGGGAGGCUUUGAAGUGUGGACGCCAGUCUGCAUGGAGCCGACCUUGAAAUACCACCCUUUAAUGUUUGAUGUUCUAACGUGGACCCGUUACCCGGGUUGCGGACAGUGUCUGGUGGGUAGUUUGACUGGGGCGGUCUCCUCCUAAAGAGUAACGGAGGAGCACGAAGGUUGGCUAAUCCUGGUCGGACAUCAGGAGGUUAGUGCAAUGGCAUAAGCCAGCUUGACUGCGAGCGUGACGGCGCGAGCAGGUGCGAAAGCAGGUCAUAGUGAUCCGGUGGUUCUGAAUGGAAGGGCCAUCGCUCAACGGAUAAAAGGUACUCCGGGGAUAACAGGCUGAUACCGCCCAAGAGUUCAUAUCGACGGCGGUGUUUGGCACCUCGAUGUCGGCUCAUCACAUCCUGGGGCUGAAGUAGGUCCCAAGGGUAUGGCUGUUCGCCAUUUAAAGUGGUACGCGAGCUGGGUUUAGAACGUCGUGAGACAGUUCGGUCCCUAUCUGCCGUGGGCGCUGGAGAACUGAGGGGGGCUGCUCCUAGUACGAGAGGACCGGAGUGGACGCAUCACUGGUGUUCGGGUUGUCAUGCCAAUGGCACUGCCCGGUAGCUAAAUGCGGAAGAGAUAAGUGCUGAAAGCAUCUAAGCACGAAACUUGCCCCGAGAUGAGUUCUCCCUGAGACUUUAGGUCUCCUGAAGGAACGUUGAAGACGACGACGUUGAUAGGCCGGGUGUGUAAGCGCAGCGAUGCGUUGAGCUAACCGGUACUAAUGAACCGUGAGGCUUAACCUUACAACGCCGAAG
rnacentral:rRNA from 1 species